rnacentral:tRNA from 1 species
GGGGAUGUGGUUUAGUGGUAUAACGUUCGCUUAGCAUGCGAAAGGUCUGGGGUUCGAUUCCCCACCUCUCCA